GAUGAAGAACGUAGCGAAAUGCGAUAAGUAGUGUGAAUUGCAGAAUUCAGUGAAUCAUCGAAUCUUUGAACGCACAUUGCGCCCCUUGGUAUUCCAUGGGGCAUGCCUGUUCGAGCGUCAUUUGUACCUUCAAGCUAUGCUUGGUGUUGGGUGUUUGUCUCGCCUCUGCGUGUAGACUCGCCUCAAAACAAUUGGCAGCCGGCGUAUUGAUUUCGGAGCGCAGUACAUCUCGCGCUUUGCACUCAUAACGACGACGUCCAAAAGUACAUUUUUACACUCUUGACCUCGGAUCAGGUAGGGAUACCCGCUGAACUUAAGCAUAUCAAUAAGCGGAGGA
rnacentral:misc_RNA from 1 species